CAAGUAGGCCGUAUCGCCCUUCCCCUCGUCCUUUUAGCACCUUGAAUUUGCACAAUAUCUCCCCUUCUCACUGGCGCAUUUGCGGUCUCUAUUGCACAUAUCUGAACCUCCUCAAUCAAACUUUCAUUUUUUUCCCGGUUGGGAUAGAUAUUAUAUACACUGGAUUCUUCAGUUGCUGGUUUAUAUUUGCUUUUAUCAGUUAUUUUCUGUUUUAGAUUAUUUGAUUUUGGAAGUUUUUGCUUAAUCAGAUACUUCCUAUUUUUUGUUGUUUUCAUUUGAAACCCACCUCAUCUGAAUUAGGUUUUCCCUUAUCAAGUUGAAAUUUGUCAUAGCAUCUGUCCAAGUCAGUGUAGCAUGGUGUGCUUAUUAUGUGUCCCCGCUUAAAUAUCAUAACGUC